rnacentral:tRNA from 1 species
GCACGAGGUGGCUGAACGGCUGCCGCAGGGCUUCCGGGUAGCACUGCAGGCCGGUGACGGCCUGCCGGUAGCACUGUUCCACGUAGUCCUCGAUCG